CAGAGGUCCCAAGCGUUGUUCGGAUUCAUUGGGCGUAAAGGGUGCGUAGGCGGCGCGGUAAGUCGGGUGUGAAAUCUCGGAGCUUAACUCCGAAACUGCAUUCGAUACUGCCGUGCUUGAGGACUGGAGAGGAGACUGGAAUUUACGGUGUAGCGGUGAAAUGCGUAGAUAUCGUAAGGAAGACCAGUGGCGAAGGCGGGUCUCUGGACAGUUCCUGACGCUGAGGCACGAAGGCCAGGGGAGCAAACGGGAUUAGAUACCCCGGUAGUCCUGGCAGUAAACGGUGCACGUUUGGUGUGGGAGGAUUCGACCCCUUCUGCGCCGGAGCUAACGCGUUAAACGUGCCGCCUGGGGAGUACGGUCGCAAGAUUA
rnacentral:rRNA from 1 species